rnacentral:rRNA from 1 species
UACGUAGGGUGCAAGCGUUAAUCGGAAUUACUGGGCGUAAAGCGUGCGCAGGCGGUUAUGUAAGACAGGUGUGAAAUCCCCGGGCUUAACCUGGGAACUGCGUUUGAAACUGAAAGGCUAGAGUGUGGCAGAGGGGGGUGGAAUUCCACGUGUAGCAGUGAAAUGCGUAGAGAUGUGGAGGAACACCGAUGGCGAAGGCAGCCCCCUGGGCUAACACUGACGCUCAUGCACGAAAGCGUGGGGAGCAAACAGG